UGGGGAAUAUUGGGCAAUGGGCGCAAGCCUGACCCAGCAACGCCGCGUGAGGGAAGAAGGUUUUCGGAUUGUAAACCUCUGUCGCAGAAGACGAAGGAAGUGACGGUAAUCUGUGAGGAAGCCCCGGCUAACUACGUGCCAGCAGCCGCGGUAAUACGUAGGGGGCGAGCGUUGUCCGGAAUUACUGGGCGUAAAGGGAGCGUAGGCGGUUAAUUAAGUUAGAUGUGAAAUACCCGGGCUUAACUUGGGGGGUGCAUCUAAUACUGGUAAACUAGAGUACAGGAGAGGAAAGCGGAAUUCCUAGUGUAGCGGUGAAUGCAUAGAUAU
rnacentral:rRNA from 1 species